CUUUUUCUUCUCUUUUUCUUCUCUUUUUCUUCUCUUUUCUUCCCUUCUAUCAUCUUUCUUUCAUUUCUUUCUCAAUUCCAUUUCAAAUUUUAGCUUCCUGUGCUCAACCUACUCAAUCCCUUCUUCAUAUAUAUCAAUCUUAACUGCUAGACAUACCACGUCUUUACUCUCUAAACCUCAUACCUAAAAACCUAAUAGCAGCUUGCUUAUUCCCGAAAAAUGUUUUUAUUUACUUUUUUUAUUCGUUCUUUCAAUCAUAUCAUCGCUCAACCUACAACCAAUAAGAAAAUGAAAACAUAUUUAAUCAUUUAAAAUAUUACCUUAACUCGUAAAGAACAUCCAAGUAUCAAGUCAUCACUAGUGCCUGUGUUCAUGAAUGAGAGAGGGUUUACAUAUAUCAUAUUACAUAUAUAUGGUUAUAAAUCGUAAUAAUUUUAGAUCCCAUAUAAUGGCGCUUGAUCAGAUGAAUUUUAAAAGCGCCCUCUAUGAUGUUUAAUUAGCUACGCGAGCAGCUGUGAGAUGAAGACAAUGAAGAUAAUUAACAAUAAGAAUGGAGCCAAUUAUGAGUUAAUCUGUACAGUAUUCUUAGAUACGCGGUCAGAAACCCCCUGGAAGCCGGGGAAGCAGUCGUCAAGGAUCAAUCUUGCUUUGAUAUCUCCAUAAUCAUGCUCUUAUACUAAAAAAGCGUCCUACUGAUUUGAACCUUCUUCUGACCACAAAUGGUAGAUUUAGAAAUUUAUCAGCUAUUGCGAUCAAAAAAUUUAGGAUUCUUAAUUGACUCAUUCGAUUAAAAGAAUUUAAAUAAAAUUCAAUAAUAGAUUGAGAAUUUUCUUUGAUCAAACUCUAUCUUGUAACAGAUUAUUAAAUUCUUCAAUAAAAUUAUUCGGGACACAACUCGUACUCAUAUUAGUGAGAAGAGUAAAAUAGUUAAACAAUUAGAGGAAUAUAUAGAUGAAAUCAUGAAUAAAUUUUCUAGCGAAAACCCUUGUUUUAAUUACUUGUUACUUAACUGAUUCUGUAUAAAAAAGAACCAAGACCGAAGACCAGAACCAAGAUUGAUAAAGCUGAACCGAGAACAAAACUGUUGAAAUGAAAGAACAGAGACCAGGACCGAUAGAACCGAUGAGCCUGAACCGAGUACAACCUUGUUUAGAUAUGAUUAUUAUUCUAAUUACAUCAAAGUUUCCAAAUCCAAAGACAUCUACCCUCUGUCUAUAGAAUCCUUAAUUUAUUAUGAGAAGAGAAAUUGCUUUUACAAUUAUGUCUGAAUUAAUUCGAAAGGCUGGCUGGAAAAUAUCUAGGAUAUAUCUUGGAUUUAUUGUUUUCAAAUAAAAACAAAGUUCCGUUAUUACAAGUAAUAUUUAUUUGUGGGUAUUACUGAUCGUAGGAAAGACUAUAAUAAAUGAACGUCUUACAAUACAUGUCACUCUUUGGUAAAUUGAGAAAAAAUUGAUUACCUAAAAAUUACAAUGCAGGCAAAACAUAUUUUAAAUAUAUUAAAGUUUGAUUUUUUACUAAUCAGUUGAUUUUUUAAUAAAACAGGAUCAAUUCCUUGUGUCUCAAUGUUUUUUAAGGUAGGGGUCGUCUAUUCUAUAUGCACAAAAAAACCCGAAUUAUGGUACAACAGAAAAAGCGAGAACUUAUAUUAAAUACUAAUUAUGAAUGGGAAUUAGGAAGCUGAGAAGCGAGUUAAUCCAAGGACUACUAGAAGAAAAGUACUACAGACAGAAAAAAAUCAGCAUACAGCAGCAGCCCUAUUUUCAUGUUUUGUUCUGGUGAAGUUGUAUUUUACUGAUGGAAUGGUGUAUGUUUUUUUUACCUUGAAAACUCUUAUAUUGUUUUUCUUAGCCUAAAAUACUGGAAA
rnacentral:lncRNA from 1 species